rnacentral:rRNA from 1 species
AUUGAACGCUGGCGGAAUGCUUACACAUGCAAGUCGAACGGCAGCACGGACUUCGGUCUGGUGGCGAGUGGCGAACGGGUGAGUAAUGUAUCGGAACGUGCCCAGUCGUGGGGGAUAACGUAGGGAAAAUUACGCUAAUACCGCAUACGAUCUAUGGAUGAAAGCGGGGGAUCGCAAGACCUCGCGCGAUUGGAGCGGCCGAUAUCAGAUUAGGUAGUUGGUGGGGUAAAGGCCCACCAAGCCAACGAUCUGUAGCUGGUCUGAGAGGACGACCAGCCACACUGGAACUGAGACACGGUCCAGACUCCUACGGGAGGCAGCAGUGGGGAAUUUUGGACAAUGGGCGAAAGCCUGAUCCAGCCAUUCCGCGUGCAGGAUGAAGGCCCUCGGGUUGUAAACUGCUUUUGUACAGAACGAAAAGGUUUCUACUAAUACUAGGAGCUCAUGACGGUACUGUAAGAAUAAGCACCGGCUAACUAUGUGCCAGCCGCCGCGGUAA